GCUGCGCCAUAUUGUCGGUUAGAAUACCGGCCUGUCACGCCGGGGGUCGCGGGUUCGAGUCCCGUCCGCUGCGCCA
rnacentral:tRNA from 1 species